rnacentral:rRNA from 1 species
CUGCUGCCUUCCGUAGGAGUCUGGUCCGUGUCUCAGUACCAGUGUGGGGGACCUUCCUCUCAGAACCCCUACGCAUCGUCGCCUCGGUGGGCCGUUACCCCGCCGACUAGCUAAUGCGCCGCAUGGCCAUCCGCAGCCGAUGAAUCUUUAACCGCCGAGGGAUGCCCCUCUGCGGUGUUACGCGGUAUUAGACGGAAUUUCUUCCGCUUAUCCCCCUGCUGCGGGCAGGUUCCAUACCGUGUUACUCACCCGUGCGCCGGUCG